UACCAGCACCCCGAGUGGUCGGGACGAUUAUUGGGCCUAAAGCAUCCGUAGCCGGUACUGCAAGUCUUCCGUUAAAUCCACCUGCUCAACAGUUGGGCUGCGGAGGAUACUACAGCGCUAGGAGGCGGGAGAGGCAAGCGGUACUCAGUGGGUAGGGGUAAAAUCCGCUGAUCCAUAGAAGACCACCAGUGGCGAAGGCGGCUUGCCAGAACGCGCUCGACGGUGAGGGAUGAAAGCUGGGGGAGCAAACCGG
rnacentral:rRNA from 1 species